rnacentral:rRNA from 1 species
UACGGAGGGUGCAAGCGUUAAUCGGAAUUACUGGGCGUAAAGCGCACGCAGGCGGUCUGUCAAGUCGGAUGUGAAAUACCCGGGCUCAACUUGGGUGCUGCAUUCCAAACUGGAUAUCUUGAGUGAAGUAGAGGUAGGUGGAAUUCCCGGUGUAGCGGUGAAAUGCGUAGAGAUCGGGAGGAACACCAGUGGCGAAGGCGGCCUACUGGGCAAAGACUGACGCUCAGGUGCGAAAGCGUGGGGAGCAAAC